GUGGGGAAUUUUGGACAAUGGGCGCAAGCCUGAUCCAGCAAUGCCGCGUGCAGGAAGAAGGCCUUCGGGUUGUAAACUGCUUUUGUACGGAACGAAACGGUCCUGGCUAAUACCCGGGGCUAAUGACGGUACCGUAAGAAUAAGCACCGGCUAACUACGUGCCAGCAGCCGCGGUAAUACGUAGGGUGCGAGCGUUAAUCGGAAUUACUGGGCGUAAAGCGUGCGCAGGCGGUGCUGUAAGACAGGCGUGAAAUCCCCGGGCUCAACCUGGGAAUUGCGCUUGUGACUGCAGUGGUGGAGUGCGGAAGAGGGGGAUGGAAUUCCGCGUGUAGCAGUGAAAUGCGUAGAUAUGCGGAGGAACACCGAUGGCGAAGGCAAUCCCCUGGGCCUGCACUGACGCUCAUGCACGAAAGCGUGGGGAGCAAACAGGAUUAGAUACCCGAGUAGUCC
rnacentral:rRNA from 1 species